CAAAAUUUAAAUUAACUAAAAAAAAAAAAAAGAGAGAGAGAGAGAGAGAGAGAGAAAGACGUUACUUCUCGGAGGAACUGAGAAGCAGAGGAACUACAGAACCCAGUAGCUAAUCAACUUGUUCCUGUUUUUUUUUAGGUUUCAGUUUGGGUUCUUGAAGAUGGCAAUGAAGAUCCUUUCUGGAAGCUGCUCUUCUGACCUUUCAUCUCUCUUUAGAGGAGCUUUCUACAUCAAUAGGACUCGACUCACUUCUCCUGAGGAAGUGUUCUGUUGCCAAGGAAUCAGUUUUUCUAGUACUGAUUCUCGUGCAAAUGAAUCAUUCAACUCAAGGGUAGAACCUCCAUCGCUAUUAGCGGCUGAAAAAAAAGAAGCCAAGUCUGUGCUAACCUUGUUCUUGAUGCAGCAAGGUCUGAGCAAAGCAGUUGCUGCACGAACUGUCAAUAAAUCAGAUCAUUUCAUCGACCACCUUAUCUCAAGGCUUCAUUCAUCUCAUAAAUCUCGGUAUCUUGUAGGAAGAGAGCUCACAACUCUUGAGAUUAGGGACACCCUUAAUCCUUAUCUUCAAUCACUCCUUGAAGAGCAUGGAAACUUUAUGGUAGAUUUAGUGAAGAACUUUCAUACCGCACCUAUCGAAGAAAAGCCAGCUUUGCCAGUUUGUCGAUCCCAUUCCAGCCUUGACUCCAAGAAGCCAGAAGCAGUCUCUUAUGUAAGCGCCCCAAGUCCAGCAGCAGAUCCAUGCCCUCAACUUAGCUACCUCUUAGAGCUUGGAAUGGAUCUUGAGCAGAUCAAGUUAGCUACUCGCAAAUAUCCUAGUUUUGCCAACUACAGCUCGGAGAGGAAAAUCAAACCUCUAGUAGAGUUUCUUCUUGAUCUUGGGGUAGCUAAAUCAGAGAUUCCUAAAAUUCUUGUCAAAAGGCCUCAUUUAUGUGGACGUAGUAUAUCUGGUAAAAUAAUACCCAUCAUGUUAUACUUGGAAGAUAUGGGUGUGGACAAGAAACAGUGGGCAAAAGUUAUAUUCCGCAGCCCAGGACUCCUCAGUCUCAGCAGGCAGAAGGUUCAGGCAGUUGUUAAUUUCCUUCUUGAGUUGGGCUUAUCAGGUGAUGGCAUCUGUAAGGUCUUAACUCGGUAUCCAAAAACUGUAAGUUACAGUGUGGAAGACAAUCUCCGGCCGACAGCCGAGUACUUCAAAAGUUUCGGGGUUAAUAUUGCCAUCAUUGUCCACAGAUUUCCAGCGAGUCUUUGGCUUAGUAUUGAGGGCAAUCUCAAGCCUGUGACCAAAUUUUUUUAUGAAAGGGGGUUCAGUGUGGAAGAUAUCGGGACCAUGGUGUCGAGAUUGCCUAAUUUAUAUGCUCUUAGCUUGACAGGGAGCUUGAUACCCAAAUGGGAGUUCUUUUUUACCAUGGGUUAUUCAAAAUCUAAGCUGGUUAAGUUCCCUCAGUAUUUUAGUUACAGUUUGGAACAGAGAAUCAGACCACGUUUUGCACUUGUCAAGGAGUUAGGACUGACAAUCGGGCUGGACUGCAUGUUAGUACGAUCAGACUGUGGCUUUGAGAAAUUUUUGAAGAUGAAGAGAAAGAAUAUGCUUGCUGACGAGCUUUCAAGUCAUACAGAGAGCAAGUAAUAUGAUCAUUGGUCAGGAACUGGAUUGUAUGGCUCCUCAAUGGAGUGCUCAUUUAGAUGGAGCAGCCCAAUGGUACAGUUUUCAGGCUUGACUUUAACAAGUUUGUUGAAGGUAUCUUCGAGUGUCGUCCACAGUGUGGUCCGUCCUUUUCAUCAAUUGUUUCUCUAUAAUCCUUGUCUUUGCUGAAGUUUUCUCUUCUGCAUUACUCUUUCUUGCAAGUUAGUAUUCCCAGGAAGCACGGAAGUGAAUUCAAUCACUGUUGUUUAUAUGAGCCUCUCUUCCUUAUCAUGCAAAUUUUUUUGUCGCAAAUUGAUUGGCUACUUUAAUGUAAUUGUUCUUUGAAGACUCUUGUGCUUGGAGGAGAUUCUUCAAAAGUGUGCUAAUUGUUAAAGUUCUGAAGCCAAAAAAUCAGUUGUAUGGAAUGAUAAAUAUUAUUCAAGCAUCCGAAUCUAUGGCUAUAAUUUCUUAUUCUCACUUUAGAAUAGGAGAAGAGGGAGAUACCCAAACCAAAAAUUAUCAAGAAAGCACCUAGAGUCGGUACUCAUUUUCUUCUUGAAGAGCUUGGCAAGAUUUAGCUAAUAAUCAUUCUGCUUUGUAACAUGUGUGAUGAAGAUUUUCGUUUCAUGUUGAAAUUAUUCAGGGAAGAAAUAGUUAAGUGAGAUGAAAGAGAAUGUUAGAGAGAGGAAUGAGUUUCUGUCUUCUUCUGUAAUGUUUCAUAAAAAAGUAGGGAACAUACAUAAGGCGUUCUUUGCUUUUUCAUUGUAUAAGUUCUCUUGACAACUCAUUUGCCUAACUGGAUUGCUCACCAUGGGAGUCAAGUUAACCUUGUGAUGUUGUUACUUUACUUGCCAUUGAAAUUGUAUUAGAAUUUAGAACUAGAAAGCAU